CACGUACUGUGCGAACGUUAUUCGGAAUCACUGGGCUUAAAGGGUACGUAGGCGGUUUACCAAGUCAGAUGUGAAAUGCCACAGCUCAACUGUGGCACUGCGUUUGAAACUGGUAGGCUAGAGUAUUCCAGGGGUGUGCGGAACUUAUGGUGGAGCGGUGAAAUGCGUUGAUAUCAUGAGGAACACCGGAGGCGAAGGCG
rnacentral:rRNA from 1 species